GGACCUGACUGCUAUCGGAUUGAUACUAAGCCAUGCGAGUCAUUGUAGCAAUACAAGGCAUACGGCUCAGUAACGCGUAGUCAACCUAACCUAUGGACGGGAAUAACCUCGGGAAACUGAGAAUAAUGCCCGAUAGAACAUUAUGCCUGGAAUGGUUUAUGUUCCAAAUGAUUUAUCGCCGUAGGAUGGGACUGCGGCCUAUCAGCUUGUUGGUGAGGUAAUGGCCCACCAAGACUAUUACAGGUACGGGCUCUGAGAGGAGUAGCCCGGAGAUGGGUACUGAGACACGGACCCAGGCCCUAUGGGGCGCAGCAGGCGAGAAAACUUUGCAAUGUGCGAAAGCACGACAAGGUUAAUCCGAGUGGUUUCUGCUAAAGAAACCUUUUGUCAGUCCUAGAAACACUGAUGAAUAAGGGGUGGGCAAAGUUCUGGUGUCU
rnacentral:rRNA from 1 species